rnacentral:tRNA from 2 species
GCCGGAGUAGCUCAGCGGCAGAGCAGUGCUUUCGUAAAGCAAAGGUCGCGAGUUCGAUUCUCGCCUCCGGCUCCA